rnacentral:tRNA from 1 species
GGCAAGGUGGCCGAGUUGGUUAAGGCGUCAGGUUAAGGUCUCCCUUAGCACAAUAUCCUGAUUCAGAAAUGAGCACGAGUUCGAAUCUCGUCCUUGUCA